UACGUAGGUGGCAAGCGUUGUCCGGAUUUAUUGGGUUUAAAGGGUGCGUAGGCGGCCUUGUAAGUCAGUGGUGAAAUACUCUAGCUUAACUAGAGGGGUGCCAAUGAUACUGCAGGGCUUGAGUACAGAUGAGGUAGGCGGAAUUGACGGUGUAGCGGUGAAAUGCAUAGAUAUCGUCAAGAACACCUAUAGCGAAGGCAGCUUACUGGGCUGUAACUGACGCUGAGGCACGAAAGUGUGGGGGAUCAAAACAGG
rnacentral:rRNA from 1 species